CCAGGUGGUGUGCAUGUUUUGUUUACGUCUCAGUUCAUCAAAUUCGGAACGCUUGCUCGUUUGUUUUCUGGAGGGGGAAGACUCUUAUAAGAUGGCUACCACGUGGAUAUUAGCGUGCUCCAAAAUUUAAUAAUUUAAUUAUAAAUUGUAGUGGACAAUCAAAACCACAAAUUUGGGCAUUGUUGCUCGUUACUUGAAUGUAUGUUAUAAUUUGAAUAUCUGAAGUUAGUGAUUUUGUACAGUGGUGAAGGUUAUAUAGCAUUUGCUCCGAUUUGUGGUUUAAUUCCUAGGAAGUGAUUGAUUUUACUCCAAUCGCUGAGUAAUUAGAAUUUGUGUUAUUGUCCUAACCAUGUAAAGCCACGGGUAUGCUGUGGUAAUUACUGGGGAUCAAACAAUCCUUUAAGAAUCUUCUUCAUCUGCGAGUUGGGUACUGGAUCUCCCAAAAAUAUUUUGUUAUUGAACGGUUCCAGAAGACGGAGAAUGAUUCGUUAUUCAGCCUCUGACGCGGCUGCAAAGCCUUCAAGAAUGUCUGGUACACUUGGUAGCCUUCACUUUGUUGUCUAUCAUCAUCUUGUGGAGUUAACACACCCGAGCAUGGAGGCUGAGCCCAGAGUAUCCAGGUUGAGGAUGGACCCAAUAACAUUGUCGACACCUUUCUGCUGCACGACCAUGUGCCCAAUCCAUAGCCCGAAGCAGAAGUGGAACCUGCUGUCAAGAAGCUUGCCAUUUCACCAAUGCUCUCAUAGAUGAUGUAUAAAAAUCAUGGACAGAAUUAUGUCUUCUCACUAUGGAUGGGUUUCUGUGAACCGGUACUGCCAUGAAGGAGCCGUUGGUAGUCCCCAGGAGGUUCCAUGGGAUUGGUGAGAGAAAAAUCGUUCGUAUUUCUUCUCAUUUCGUAAUGUUUAUUCAAAAGUAAAGUAGUGGAACGUAACAAGUUAUCAGUGCAGGGUUUCCAAUUUUAAAGUAUUCUCAUGAUGAACCAUGUUCGGAUGUAGUGACAAUAUCCAUUGUUUAUUCGGAAUUAUAUAAGCAAAUUAUUUUCAA